CCCGUCGAAAGGCGGAUUAAUACCCCAUAAUAUUGGGAUUCUGCAUGGGAUUUCAAUUAAAGCUGAGGUGGUUAACGAUGGGCAUGCGUGACAUUAGCUAGUUGGUAGGGUAACGGCCUACCAAGGCUACGAUGUCUAGGGGUUCUGAGAGGAAGGUCCCCCACACUGGUACUGAGACACGGACCAGACUCCUACGGGAGGCAGCAGUGAGGAAUAUUGGUCAAUGGGCGAGAGCCUGAACCAGCCAUCCCGCGUGCAGGAAGACGGCCCUAUGGGUUGUAAACUGCUUUUGCGCAUGAAGAAUGUUACCGACGUGUCGGUAAGUGACGGUAAUGCGUGAAUAAGCAUCGGCUAACUCCGUGCCAGCAGCCGCGGUAAUACGGAGGAUGCAAGCGUUAUCCGGAUUUAUUGGGUUUAAAGGGUGCGUAGGCGGCCUUGUAAGUCAGUGGUGAAAACCUGCAGCUCAACUGUAGGCGUGCCAAUGAAACUGUGAGGCUUGAGUGACGUUGAGGCAGGCGGAAUGUGUAGUGUAGCGGUGAAAAUGCUUAGAUAUUACACAGAACACCGAUUGCGUAGGGCAGCUUGCUAAAGGGUUAACUGACGCUGAAUGCACGAAAGCGUGGGGAAUCGAACAGGGAAUUAGAUACCCUGGGUAGUCCCACGCUGUAAACGAUGAUGACUCGCUGUUGGCGAUAUACAGUCAGCGGCUUAGCGAAAGCGAUAAGUCAUCCACCUGGGGAGUACGCUCGCAAGAGUGAAACUCAAAGGAAUUGACGGGGGCCCGCACAAGCGGAGGAACAUGUGGUUUAAUUCGAUGAUACGCGAGGAACCUUACCUGGGCUUAAAUGUGCAAUGCCGGCUUUGGAAACAGGGCUUUCCGCAAGGACGUUGUACAAGGUGCUGCAUGGUUGUCGUCAGCUCGUGCCGUGAGGUGUCGGGUUAAGUCCCAUAACGAGCGCAACCCCUACUGUCAGUUGCUAGCAGGUAAAGCUGAGGACUCUGGCGGGACUGCCACCGUAAGGUGCGAGGAAGGCGGGGAUGACGUCAAAUCAGCACGGCCCUUAUGUCCAGGGCUACACACGUGUUACAAUGGCCGAUACAAAGGGCAGCUACCUGGUGACAGGAUGCUAAUCUCGAAAGUCGGUCUCAGUUCGGAUCGGAGUCUGCAACCCGAUUCCGGAAGUCGGAUUC
rnacentral:rRNA from 1 species